UUUGAGAGUUUGAUCCUGGCUCAGGAUAAACGUUGGCGGCGUGCCUUAGGCAUGCAAAUCAAGGGGCUCCGACGCAAGUCGGAGAACCGGUGGACGGGUGAGUAAUACGCAGGAAUCUGCCUGGAAGUGGGAUAUAGCUCGGCGAAAGCCGGGGUAAUCUCCCAUGUGAACGCAAGUUUAAAGCCGCAAGGCGCUUCUAGAUGAGCCUGCGUCCUAUCAGCUAGUUGGUGGGGUAAUGGCCUACCAAGGCGACGACGGGUAGCUGGACUGAGAGGUCGGUCAGCCACAAUGGGACUGCGACCAGAACUGAUCGCCUGCGGCCCAUACACCUACGGGUGGCAGCAACCGGGAAUAUUCGACAAUGGACGAAAGUCUGAUCGAGCGACGCCGCGUGGAGGAUGAAGGCCCUCGGGUUGUAAACUCCUUUUAUCUGGGAAGAUUAUGACGGUACCAGAUGAAUAAGCACUUGCUAACUACGUGCCAGAAGCCUCGGUAAUGCGUAGAGUGCAAACGUUAUCCGGAUUUAUUGGGCGUAAAGAGUUGCGUAGGCUGAUCCGUGCAUUUUGUUUGAAAUGCUCUGACUUAAUCAGGGAUUUGGACAAAAUAUGGCGGAUCUUGAUGGUUGGAGAGGGUGCUGGAACCUGAGGUGUAGCAGUGAAAUGCGUUGAUAUCUCAGGGAACACCAAAGGCGUAGGCAGGCACCUAGACAACACAUGACGCUGAGGCACGAAAGCUGGGGGAGCGAAGCAGAUUAGAGACCUGCGUAGUCCCAGCCGUAAACUAUCUCUGCUAGAUAGCCGCUUUUGCGGCUGUCGCAGCUAACGCGUUAAGCAGAGCGCCUGGGGAGUACGAGCGCAAGCUUAAAACUCAAAGGAAUUGACGGGGACCCGCACAAGCAGUGGAGCGUGUUGUUUAAUUCGAUACGAAACGAAAAACCUCACCAGGGCUUGACAUGCUAGCGUUCUAUUCCCAGGAAACUGGGGAAAUGCGUAAGCAGGCUAGCACAGAUGCUGCAUGGCUGUCGUCAGCUCGUGGCGUGAGCUGUUCCAUUAAGUUGGGAAACGAGCGCAACCCUCACCGUAUGUUAAAUAAUUCAUGCGGAACAGCCCCGAUUUUUCGGGGAGGAAGGCGAGGAUGACGUCAAGUCAGCACGGUUCUUACGCCCUGGGCCACAAACACACUACAAUGGCGAAAAACAACGAGUUGCAAGCUAGCAAUAGCAAGCUAAUCUCUGAAAUUUCGCCUCAGUUCAGAUUGGGGUCUGCAACCCGACCCCAUGAAGUCGGAAUUGCUAGUAAUCGCGGAUCAGCGUGCCGCGGUGAAUACGUUCUCGGGUCUUGUACACACCGCCUACCGUCAAGGCAGCAAAGUCAGGGGCACCCGAACUCCGAUGUACUUCGGAGGAAGGUGAAACUGGCGAUGAAGCUUAAGUCGUAACAAGGUAUCCCUAGCCGAAGCUGGGGAUGGAUCACCUCCUU
rnacentral:rRNA from 1 species